rnacentral:rRNA from 1 species
GAGUUUGAUCCUGGCUCAGAAUUAACGCUGAUGGUAUGCCUAAUACAUGCAAGUCGAGCGAACCCCCUCGGGGGUUAGCGGCGAACGGGUGAGUAAUACAUAUCUAACAUACUCUGAAGAAGGGGAUAGCCGUUUGAAAAAGCGAUUAAUACCCUAUAAUUAGCCCCCCGCAUAAGCGGGAGGCUUGAAAGGAGCAAUCCGCUUUGGAAUUGGGAUAUGGUCUAUUAGCUAGUUGGCGGGAUAAAAGCCCCCCAAGGCGAUGAUAGAUAGCUGGAUUGAGAAGUCGAACAGCCACAAUGGGAUUGAGAUACGGCCCAUAUUCCUACGGGAAGCAGCAGUAGGGGAUCUUCCACAAUGGGCGAAAGCCUGAUGGAGCAAUACCAUGUGAACGACGAAGGUCUUAUUGAUUGUAAAGUUCUUUUAAGAGGGAUAAACAAGAUGGUACCUCUUGAAUAAGUGACAGCAAACUAUGUGCCAGCAGCUGCGGUAAUACAUAGGUCGCGAGCGUUAUUCGGAUUUAUUGGGCGUAAAGAGAGCGCAGGCGGAUGGAUAAGUUCUGUGUGAAAGGUAGCCGCUCAACGGUUACUUGCGCCGAAUACUGUCUGUCUAGAAUACGGUAGGGAGGUUCGGAAUUGAAUGUGGAGCGGUGGAAUGUGUAGAUAUAUUCAAGAACACCAGAGGCGAAGGCGGAACCUUAGGCCGAUAUUGACGCUUAGGCUCGAAAGUGUGGGGAGCAAAUGGGAUUAGAUACCCCAGUAGUCCACACCGUAAACGAUGGAUAUUUGAUGUUGGGAGUUGAGAGUCUCAGCGUUGUAGCUUACGUGUUAAAUAUCCCGCCUGGGUAGUACAUAUGCAAAUAUGAAACUCAAAGGAAUUGACGGGGACCUGAACAAGUGGUGGAACAUGUUGCUUAAUUCGAUAAUACACGAAAAACCUUACCAAGAUUUGACAUCCCCCGCAAAGGUAUAGAAAUAUACUGGAGGUUAUCGGGGUGACAGGUGGUGCAUGGUUGUCGUCAGCUCGUGUCUUGAGAUGUUUGGUUAAGUCCCGCAACGAGCGCAACCCUACUCUCUAGUUAGUAUGUUUAGAGAGACUGAACAGAAAUGUAUAGGAAGGAUAGGAUCACGUCAAAUCAUCAUGCCCCUUAUGUCUUGGGCUGCAAACGUGUUACAAUGGCUAGUACAGCGUGCUCGCAAACCAGCGAUGGUAAGCUAAUCACUAAAAGCUAGCCCCAGUUCGGAUUAAAGGCUGCAAUUCGCCUUUAUGAAGUUGGAAUCACUAGUAAUCCCGUGUCAGCUAUAUCGGGGUGAAUACGUCCCAAGGUCUUGUACACACCGCCCGUCAAACUAUGAGAGGGGGGGGCAUUUGAAACCGCAUUUAUUUGCGUCUAGAGUGAAUCCCCUGAUUGGAGUUAAGUCGUAACAAGGUACCCGUACGAGAACGUGCGGGUGGAU